UACGUAGGGUGCAAGCGUUGUCCGGAAUUAUUGGGCGUAAAGAGCUCGUAGGCGGUUUGUCGCGUCUGCUGUGAAAACGCGAGGCUCAACCUCGCGCCUGCAGUGGGUACGGGCAGACUAGAGUGUGGUAGGGGAGAUUGGAAUUCCUGGUGUAGCGGUGGAAUGCGCAGAUAUCAGGAGGAACACCGAUGGCGAAGGCAGAUCUCUGGGCCGUAACUGACGCUGAGGAGCGAAAGCGUGGGGAGCGAACAGG
rnacentral:rRNA from 1 species